AUAUUUAAAAUAUAAUAAAAUAUUUUAAAUAUAAUAAAAUAAGUGGAGUUUAAAAAAUACAAUAAUAGGUAUAGAACAAAAUGGAUUUUUUUUUUCCUUCUUAGUUUGAAGAAGAGCCUCCUUGGACUUUUGCUUUGUCCAUGCCAAAUUCCCUCCAUCUCUGACCCAGAGCUAGCCAGCAGAAAGGUUGGAGAGCAGGUGGACCCCUGGAAUUUUCCAGCUGGAAACAGCCCUCGCCUCCUCCUGGAAAACAUUCCAUCCUCCUUUCCCUUGCUGGGGAAAGAGGGAAAAGGGAUUUUGUAUUUCUCAGCCCCAGCAGGUUCCUACAGAGGCUCCAGAGGGAGUUGUGCUGUCCCAGAGGGUGACACUGACAGCUUAGAAACUCUUUAUUUAAAUACUUUAUUUAAAGCUUAAUGCAGUUAACUUUUGUAGAUAGAUAGACAGAUAGAUAGAUAGAUAGAUAGAUAGAUAGAUAGAUAGAUAGAUAGAUAGAUAGAUAGAUAGAUAGAUAGAUAGAUAGAUAGAUAGAUAGAUAGAUAGAUAGAUAGAUAGAUAGAUAGAUAGAUAGAUAGAUAGAUAGAUAGAUAGAUAGAUAGAUAGAUAGAUAGAUAGAUAGAUAGAUAGAUAGAUAGAUAGAUAGAUAUAAACAAUUUCUUCUCUCACUUCCCUAAAUGAAAGCUGGAUUUAGGGGGAUACAUUACUUGGGGUGGGGGUCGUUUUGUUUUGUUGUUUUUUUUCCCUUCAAAUAAAUUAAUUUGUUAUACAUAUAAAAAUAUAUUACUUGGGUUUCCUUUCAGUUUCAGGUGACACAAAGGGAGAGGGAGGACAAAAGAAUGGAAGACCAGCACAAGGACUUCAGUGGGUUGAAGCGCGGGGCACACCGGGGUUCACAAGCCAAGGACUCUGCGACACACACAUGGCACCACUCAGACUUGGGACACGUGGCCUUGCUCCCAGCAGGACACGACAGCACCAGAAAACGAAAUAAAGGAACUCCCAGGAUCUGGAGCUGGGGGAGGGGCUCUCCUCCCCCAGGGACGUAACAGCGCCAAACACCGAAGGACAGGGGGAGACGAGGCUGGGCACGGGGCCCUGCUCCUGUCCCGGGGGGGACAGGGACACAGCCAGCAGCAGGGGGGGUCCAGAGCACCCCAGAGCACCCCAGGACAUUCCAGAGGACUCCAGGGCAUCCCAGGGCACUCCAGAGCAUCCCAGGGGACCCCAGAGCAGCCCAGGGCAGCCCAGGGCACCCCAGUGGACCCCAGGACAUUCCAGAGGACUCCAGUGCACCCCAGAGCACUCCAGAGCAUCCCAGGACAUUCCAGAGCACUCCAGAGCAUCCCAGAGCACCCCAGAACACUCCAGAGCACUCCAGAGCACCCCAGGACAUUCCAGAGGACUCCAGGGCAUCCCAAAGCACUCCAGAGCAUCCCAGAGCACCCCAGAGCAGCCCAGGGCACCCCAGUGCACCCCAGGACAUUCCAGAGGACUCCAGGGCAUCCCAAAGCACUCCAGAGCAUCCCAGAGCACCCCAGAGCAGCCCAGGGCACCCCAGUGGACCCCAGGACAUUCCAGAGGACUCCAGUGCACCCCAGAGCAUCCCAGAGCACCCCAGAGCACCCAGAGCAUCCCACAGCACCCAGAGCCCGGCUCUCCAUGGGAACAGGCACAGAGAAAUCCAGGGAAGGCCACGGGGAGGGGCGAGGGAACAUCCCAGGGCGGCUCAGCGCAACCCCGGCACGGAGACCAGAACAACCCCCAGCAGAAGGCCACAAAAGCACCCGCAGCUUCAGCCCUCCCAGGUCUGCAGCUGGGGGAACAAGCUGCACCCUGACUGCUGGCACCGGGCACAGGCUGCUCCCAGCCCCAGCCAGGCUCUGGUGCCGCUCCAGGCUGGGCUGCCCGGCUCCCACGGCAUCUCCCACCCACCCCGUGACAGCCCCCAGCUCACAAAUCCCUCAUUCUCCCAGCUGCCCUCCUCCACAGUGCUUUUUUCCCUCAGCAAAGCCACCAAGCUCUUUUGGGACCCGUCCUCCGCCCUGCCCAAGGCAGGAAGAGAGCCCCAGACUGGCACCGGUUUGGCAACGAGCUGGGAGAUGCAAAGGAGCAGUUCAUAAAUAA
rnacentral:lncRNA from 1 species